GCGCCCGUAGCUCAGCUGGAUAGAGUACCGGCCUUCUAAGCCGGGUGUCACAGGUUCGAUUCCUGUCGGGCGCGCCA
rnacentral:tRNA from 1 species